CAAUGAAGGAAGUAUGGCAAUGUACACGUAAAUUAAUUUGGGUCUCUAGGUAUGCCCUCUCUGAUGCCAUUUGGCUUUGAUUUAGGGGCAUCGUUCUGCAGCAAAACA